rnacentral:misc_RNA from 1 species
UGCAAUCAGAUAUUCCACUCGCUGAGUAUACGAGCCAAUAGUGUUCGUUGGUGUUUGUGCGGGCGCGGAAAAAGGAAGCGAUUAGCCGGUCUUCCCCUCGUCUUGACCACAGAAGUCAUUUGUCUGUAAAUCUCGCUUCUCUCGCUCCGUAUCGGUCUCUGUCGGUCAUCCUACUACGGUGACGUCGUAACCGUCGGUGCUUCUUCGAUGAUAAGCACGUGUGCGUGCCACUACCUGCUGCGUGUACGUGCGUGCGUUAGAAUCGCGAGCCGCGUAUCGGCGUGCAGUUAGUGACCGGGCACCAUUACCAUCUAAGUCCUCCGUAUACGAGUAUAGCAAAUCAGAGUUUUGUUGUUUGUUUAUAUCUUCUUGUUGGUUUCGUUUGGUUCGAAGGAGUCGGUUUCUUUUUUUGUGCCGAAGCCAGUUACGAACGGAUCACCGGCGUAACCAUGGAUAUCCUGCCGAGUGGGAACAUAUUUAGGGAGUUGCAAGAUAUACACGACACCGGAUACUUUUCGGCCCAGCCAUCGCUCGAGGAUCAUUGGCAACAGAUACGAUGCAACACAAUUUCCUUCAACCAGCUUCUUCACCUCUAGUUCAGGCUGCGCGACAACGUUGCACGCGUUGGCGCGCGUGUGCGUCGCUCGUAACACGACGCAUUUACUUCUGCCUUGACGACGAAGCUCGAAUGCUCCGAGAAUC